rnacentral:tRNA from 1 species
GCCUCGGUAGUGCAAGGGAUAGAGCGCGGUGCUCGGAUAGCACAUCUACGGGUUCGAGUCCCGUUCGAGACU